GGAAUAUUUGCAAGUGCAGUUAAAAAGGAUGUUGUCUCCUCAAGUUUUAUAGCAAAGUACUUCUAUUGCUUGUGGUGGGGCCUACAACAGCUGAGCUCUUAUGGGCAGAAUUUGUCAACGAGUACAUUUAUCGGGGAGACUUCCUUUGCUAUACUUAUUGCAAUUUUGGGUCUGGUUUUGUUCGCACACCUUAUUGGGAAUAUGCAGACAUACUUGCAGUCUUUGACGUUGAGGCUCGAGGAAUGGAGACUCAAGAGAAGAGAUACUGAAGAGUGGAUGGAGCAUCGUCAACUUCCAGAAGAUUUGAGAAAGCGUGUUAGACGUUUUGAUCAGUAUAAAUGGGUUGCUACUAGAGGAGUAGAUGAAGAGACAAUUUUGCAUGGCCUGCCUACUGAUCUUCGUCGUGACAUCCAACGCCAUCUUUGCCUGGAUCUUGUCCGAAGGGUUCCAUUUUUCUCCCAAAUGGAUGAUCAAUUACUUGAUGCAAUAUGCGAACGUCUAGUCUCGUCCUUAAGCACAGAAGGCACUUAUAUUGUCCGUGAAGGAGAUCCAGUCACGGAAAUGUUGUUUAUCAUCAGAGGUAGGCUCGAGAGUUCUACAACGAAUGGUGGUCGGACUGGUUUCUUCAAUUGCAUUACAUUGAGGCCUGGAGAUUUUUGCGGAGAGGAGCUACUCGCUUGGGCUUUGCUUCCGAAAUCAACGACGAACUUGCCUUCUUCGACCAGAACAGUCAAGGCGCUUGUUGAAGUAGAAGCAUUUGCAUUGAGAGCUGAAGAUCUCAAGUUUGUAGCCAACCAAUUUAGACGCCUUCAUAGCAAGAAGCUCCAGCAUACAUUCCGGUUCUACUCUCACCAUUGGCGCACAUGGGCAGCCUGUUUCAUCCAGGCUGCAUGGAGACGACACAAGCGGAGAACAAUGGCAAAAGAUCUUGCAGCACUGGAAUCAUUUUCUCUGGAUGAGAGUACGGUCGAUGAAACAGAGCAAAAUGAGGAGCACGAUCAAGGUAACGCUAACUCAAAUCCGUCCCCAAGAAUAUCACACCUCGGAGUCACAAUAUUGGCUUCAAGAUUUGCUGCUAACACAAGAAGAGGAGCUCAAAAACUUAAAGAAGUAAGAUUACCUAAGUUACAGAAACCUGAAGAGCCUGACUUUUCAGCUGAGCCUGAUGACUAGAUUACGAUUGAUAGUUUCAUUGAGAUAUCGAUACGAUGACCAACUCUGAGAUUGAAGUUUUCCGCGAUACAUUCUUACACUCAGGAUCAUCGCUGUACAUGUAGAACGCGCGUUUCUUAAAGAUAAUAGUGUUGCAAGAGAGGGAGCUUUUGGUAAGGGAAUCUGGUUUU
rnacentral:misc_RNA from 1 species